GGCGCAACCCUUGUCCUUAGUUACCAGCACGUUAUGGUGGGCACUCUAAGGAGACUGCCGGUGACAAACCGGAGGAAGGUGGGGAUGACGUCAAGUCAUCAUGGCCCUUACGGCCUGGGCUACACACGUGCUACAAUGGUCGGUACAAAGGGUUGCCAAGCCGCGAGGUGGAGCUAAUCCCAUAAAACCGAUCGUAGUCCGGAUCGCAGUCUGCAACUCGACUGCGUGAAGUCGGAAUCGCUAGUAAUCGUGAAUCAGAAUGUCACGGUGAAUACGUUCCCGGGCCUU
rnacentral:rRNA from 1 species